rnacentral:rRNA from 1 species
UACGUAGGGGGCAAGCGUUGUCCGGAAUCAUUGGGCGUAAAGCGCGUGUAGGCGGCUUGGUAAGUCUGCUCUGAAAGCCCGGGGCUCAACCCCGGGAGGCGGGUGGAUACUGUCAAGCUCGAGUCCGGAAGAGGAGUGUGGAAUUCCUGGUGUAGCGGUGAAAUGCGCAGAUAUCGAGAGGAACACCUGCGGCGAAGGCGGGUUGCUGGGCUGACACGUGACGCUGAGGCGCGAAAGCUAGGGGAGCGAACGGG